rnacentral:tRNA from 1 species
GUUUAUAUAAUAUAAUAAAUUAUACCCGACUUCCAAUCAGGAAAUCUACUCUUCUAGUAUAAACA